GACGAACGCUGGCGGCGUGCUUAACACAUGCAAGUCGAGCGGAAAGGCCCUUUCGGGGGUACUCGAGCGGCGAACGGGUGAGUAACACGUGAGUAAUCUGCCCUUGGCUUUGGGAUAACUACCGGAAACGGUGGCUAAUACCGGAUACGACGUACUCAGGCAUCUGAUGUGCGUGGAAAGUUUUUUCGGCCAGGGAUGUGCUCGCGGCCUAUCAGCUUGUUGGUGGGGUAAUGGCCUACCAAGGCUUCGACGGGUAGCCGGCCUGAGAGGGUGACCGGCCACACUGGGACUGAGACACGGCCCAGACUCCUACGGGAGGCAGCAGUGGGGAAUAUUGGACAAUGGGCGGAAGCCUGAUCCAGCAACGCCGCGUGAGGGAUGACGGCCU
rnacentral:rRNA from 1 species